rnacentral:rRNA from 1 species
GACGUAGGGGGCCAGCGUUGUUCGGAAUUACUGGGUGUAAAGGGUUCGUAGGCGGUGCGGCAAGUUGGGAGUGAAAUCUCUGGGCUCAACCCAGAGGCUGCUUCCAAAACUGCCGUGCUUGAGUGUGGGAGAGGCGCGUGGAAUUGCAGGUGUAGCGGUGAAAUGCGUAGAUAUCUGCAGGAACACCCGUGGCGAAGGCGGCGCGCUGGUCCACUACUGCCGCUGAGGCACGAAAGCUAGGGGAGCAAACAGU